GACGAACGCUGGCGGCGUGCUUAACACAUGCAAGUCGAACGGAAAGGCCCUGCUUUUGUGGGGUGCUCGAGUGGCGAACGGGUGAGUAACACGUGAGUAACCUGCCCUUUACUUUGGGAUACCUUCAGUAAACUGGGGCUAAUACCGGAUAGGAGCUCCUGCUGCAUGGUGGGGGUUGGAAAGUUUCGGCGGUUGGGGAUGGACUCGCGGCUUAUCAGCUUGUUGGUGGGGUAGUGGCUUACCAAGGCUUUGACGGGUAGCCGGCCUGAGAGGGUGACCGGCCCCAAUGGGACUGAGAUACGGCCCAGAGUCCUACGGGAGGAAGCAGUGGGGAAUAUUGCACAAUGGGCGGAAGCAUGAUGCAGCAACGCCGCGUGCGGGAUGACGGCCUUCGGGUUGUAAACCGCUUUCGCCUGUGACGAAGCGUGAGUGACGGUAAUGGGUAAAGAAGCACCGGCUAACUACGUG
rnacentral:rRNA from 1 species